UAGAGGCACUUUGUACAUCCAAGUUCUGAGCUUCCCAGAGUCCCUGAAUCAGCUGAUUCUGUGCCGUCCCUGGGGCUGACUUCACUGUCCUUUGCUCAGGUCUGCCAAGUUAGUUACUACUUCAGUCUUCGGCCUCCAGCUUUCCAAAUAUUGGUGCUCACCUCUUCCCUCAGGUCCUGUUUGCCUUUACAGACUUAGGUCUUUAUGGCAAUUCCUGUUACUGUCAUUUUCACGGUCUCUCAAGGAGAAUGGAGCCAGUGCCUAACCAGGUUCAACGAAUUUGCUGCUAUCCUGAGACUGAUUCUCAGUAGACACAAAGGACUGGCGCACACACUAUCAUAUGGCAGGAUGCGAUGGAAUGGGAAGGUCCUCAUUAUUUCCAACAAUUACAGGACUUUUAAAACGGAUUGUGCUUAAGCCAAGAACUAUUAUUACCACCAUAUUCUGAAUUAAGAAUCAAGCACAAAGAUUUCAUCAGUGAGGCCUCUCAGCCACUCUACCUUCUGUUAAUCUGAAUACCAGAAGAGGAAAAGGUCAAGACCAACAACUAUACAUACUGAAUAGCUGUUUAACACAGCAAGAGAUGCUGUUAGAGGCUGGAUACCAAGACCGCAGCCUGAGAAUGCCGAGCCACCGGCGGCUGUGGAAGUGAACGUUCCCAGAUUUGAUUAACACUAUCCAUGAAGAUACUUUGGACAAUGAAUCAGACACCAUGACAAUUACCACAGGCUUUUUGUGCUUGGAUGACAGAGGAAAGCUAUCAUUCAGAAAAAAUAUAUUAAAUUCAGAAGAUAAUGCUGUAGAGCAAGCUUUUACUGAGUAAAAACUGAAGGCCUUUUUGCUAUUUGCUGAAUGCCGUUCGCCAGGAUGGGAAUAGAUGGUGGUUAAAGUGGUAUUCUACAACCGAGUGCUUAUUUUCCAAAUAUUUUUUAUAGCAUUCAACAACAUCUGUAUAUAUUCUGGGGCAUUUGAUAGUAAUUAAAUUUUAAUGCAUAUCUAACAACUUCUUUCUCUGGGCCCUUGCAAUGAGGAAAGGAUUGUAAGUUACUAUUUAUAAUUUUUAUGUAGGUACUUUUUAAAAGAGUAUUUCUAAAUAACCACCAAUUGCUGUCUUGUUACAAUGCUUUUCAGUCUUUAAAGUACAGUAAAGCGUAAUUCCCUAUAAUAACAUAUUUUCAGAAGUUAUGUGAUAGUAAAUACAAUUUUUAAAAUUCAUUCCCCUGAUACGUUAUUCUGUUUCUGCUGUUUCUACAAUUUUAAUAUAUUUAAAUCAUAAGAAGUAGAUAAGAGAAGCUAACAAUUAAAAUAGAAUCUGUAUCCUCUUAAUUCCAUCUCAGUUAUUUCAAUUAAAUGAGUUAAAAUAGAAAAUAAAAGCAACUCUUAUUUCAGAGAACACACAAAAGAUCAAUGUUGCAUUGACUUUAGCAUUAUUAUUAUUUUAAAAAACAAUUUAAUGUUUUAUAGUUAUGCAAUAUUAUGAACAAUGUAAAAAACCUAUGCACUGCACUGAAUUCAAAUUUUUUUAGAAUUAUUCUUAAUGGACAAAAAUAUAGAGGAGUGAAUUAUGCAGAUUUAUUUGUAUACAAACAAAUCAUUUUCUUUUAAACCAAGCAUAAGCUGCAACAAAAAUAUAAUCAAGCACUAUUUUGUAAUAUAAGAAGUUAGGACAGUGAAAAAAAGUGAGCAUAAAAACACUGGAAUAUUCACUGAUUUUGAGUUUUUCCCUUUUUUGCCUUUCCGUUUUACAGUAGUAACAACAGUG
ensembl:lncRNA